CCCCGUGUGGCUCAGUUGGGAGAGCAUGGUGCUAGCAAUGCCAGGGUUGUGGGUUUGAUUCCCACGGGGG
rnacentral:tRNA from 1 species